rnacentral:rRNA from 1 species
AGUGAACGCUGGCGGUAGGCCUAACACAUGCAAGUCGAACGGCAGCACAGUAAGAGCUUGCUCUUACGGGUGGCGAGUGGCGGACGGGUGAGGAAUACAUCGGAAUCUACUUUUUCGUGGGGGAUAACGUAGGGAAACUUACGCUAAUACCGCAUACGACCUACGGGUGAAAGCAGGGGAUCUUCGGACCUUGCGCGAUUGAAUGAGCCGAUGUCGGAUUAGCUAGUUGGCGGGGUAAAGGCCCACCAAGGCGACGAUCCGUAGCUGGUCUGAGAGGAUGAUACGCCACACUGGAACUGAGACACGGUCCAGACUCCGACGGGAGGCAGAAGUGGGGAAUAUUGGACAAUGGGCGCAAGCCUGAUCCAGCCAUACCGCGUGGGUGAAGAAGGCCUUCGGGUUGUAAAGCCCUUUUGUUGGGAAAGAAAAGCAGCAGGUUAAUACCCCGCUGUUCGGACGGUACCCAAAGAAUAAGCACCGGCUAACUUCGU